ACUUGGUAGACUGGUUUUAAGCAUGGAAGGAUUUAAAUAGAUCAAACCGGCUUCUCUGUUGAGUGAGAAUUGCAGGAAGCCUUAUUCAGAGGUAAGAGAUGCCGGUGGUUUGGGCAAGGGUGAUGUUGGAGAAAGGUGGGUGGAUUUUAGAGUAAAAUUAUCUCGUGAAUUAAAAUUAUCUAGAAAUGAUGAUGGAUUUGGUUAAGGAAUGAGGGGAAGGUAAGGAGUAAUUUCAAAGGUAAUAAUAAUAGCUAAUAUGGUGCCAGGCAUCAUUCUAAGUCUUUACAUAUAUUAGCUUUACAUAUAUUAGCUCAUUUAAUCCAUGAAGGACAAUGUAUGAUUUUCCUCACUUUAUAAAGGAGUAACUUGAGGCACAAAAAGUUUAAAUACCUUGUCCAAGGUUCCAUAGCACACAGUCUGAGUUGAGAUGUGAACACAGAGCCUGAGGUUCAAGUCCUUUUUCUAAACCAGUGAUUCUCAAAGGAGACAUUGUUGGUUGUCACAGCUGGGGCUGGAGUGCUACUGAUAUCUAGGGAUAGAGGACAGAGAUGCUGCUAAAUAUCCUACAAUGCACAAGAUAGUCCCCACGACAAGAAAUUACCCAGCCCAAAAUGUCAGUAGUGCCCAGGUUGAGAAACCCUGUUGCAAAUUGCUACAUUAUAUUAAUACUACCUACUGAGGGUAGCCGGUAGGCUUCUUAGACAACUGGUUUACCAAUACUGGGCGAAGACCAGUUUGAGGGAGACUGAGUUGCUUUCUGGACACAUCCAGUUGAGGUCCUUUAAGGCACCUAGGAAGAUAGGGCAAGUAAACUGCUGGAUGCUCGCUUGGCUUUGUAAUUCAGAGAGGUCUGGCACUGCUUGGAGUAGGUUUCUAUUCCUGGCAACUGCAUACACCAAAAUAUCUCCUGUAUUUUUAUAGUGUAUUUGUUUGUUUGUUUAUACCCCCACCCUCUUCCAGAAAGGAUGCAAAGCUGCUUAGGAGGAUAAGGAACACGCAAGAGUCUGAUGUAAGUUAAAAGUAGGACAAAGGAACACAUUCACAUAAGGGUGGAGACAUAGGAUGGAGCCAGCAAUGAGGCUAAAAGGAACCCUAAUCCCAUUCCUGGCAGCUGCAGGGCUCUUCUUACAAUCUUACUGGACUCCUUUAUCCCAGUCUCUGCUGAGAUCUCUGCCUCCUCUCCAGGAGAUGAACCCCAAUCCUCACCUCUUGGCUGCCCUGCAGCUGAGAUGAAAACUGAAUGUGCUUACUGUCUUUUAGGUUCCUGGCACCUAGUGGGAGAACAAUACAUAGUUGUAGAGAGAAACUCCAGGGAUGGGGUUGUGAACAAGACCCAAAGCCUCCCCCAUAGAGCUUCCUUUUGAAUGGGGGAGACAAACCAAAAAGGGGAGCAACCGUUGAUAUGAGCAUUCGUGCUUUGUUUUGCUUAUCAGAUAAUUUAAUAGCUAGUUCCAAGGCGUCUUUCAUGCUAUAAAGAAACAAAAAAGGACCCAAGAAAAAAUGAUGAGGAGAAGUAUGGUGGUUGGGGAAGCCUCUGUGAGAAGGUGAUAUGCAAGCUGAGACCUAGAAGAGGAGAAGGGACAGAGUUUCAUAGAGUCGGGUGAAGGCAUUCCAACCAGGAAACAGCGUGGACAGAUAGCCCUGGAUGGGAAACAACUAUGGUCUUUGAGAAACCGGGAAGAGGCCAGCAGGCCUGAAGCAGGAUGAGUGAAGAGAGAGGGUGGGAAAACAGCCAGGACCUUGCAGGCAUAGGAAAGAGUUUGGGUUUUAUUUCAAGUGCAGUAAGGAGCUAUGGAAGGACUACGUGGCAGAGAUCAACAAUUGUCCACAAGUAUCCAUUCUCCCCUUUGUCCUGAUUCAUAAAAUCCACAAGGUUGAACUGGGCAUGUGGCUGCCUGGAAUAAGAACAACUUUUCCCAGCCUCUUUUGCAGAUGUGGUCAUGUGACUUAAGCUCUGGCUGCUAGAAUCCAAGCUGGGGUGGUGUAUGCAACUUCUGAGUAGUAUCUUUGAAAGGGGGAUGUGUGUCCCCACUCCUCCUUGCUGCUAUGUGGGGUAUAGAUUAAAUGGCUGGAACCCCAGCACCAUCUCAGACUCUGAAGUGACCUUGGAAAUAAAAGCCAGGAUUGGAGAUGCCACAAUGUAGACAGAGCCUGGAUUCCUGACUCCGUUGAACUGCCAUAGUCUCAGGUAGCCAGCUGCCAGAUGCUUCUGGGAGGGAGGGAAAAGCAUCUAUCUUGCUGAAGCCACUGUUAGUGUGCAUUUUCUGUCACAGCUAAACCUAAUUCUAACUGAUAAAGGCUUUCAGGAGGAACCACAUGAUUCCGUUUAUCACAUCAGAAGCUCCCUUAGGCCCUUGUGAGGAGCAGAAGAUUGAAAGGGAGUGAGUACAGAGCAGGGAGAUAGGGGCAGAGGCUGCUGCAAUCAUCCAGGCAAAUGAAUGAACAAAUGAAUGAAUGAAUUGUAACCGGACCCAGGUUCAGUUGCUCUCUGCUUGAAAGCCAAAACUCAAGAAAUGAGACUUGGUGGGAGGAAAAACAGGUUUUUCGGGAAGCCAGCAAACGGAGAAAAUGGUAGACUACCAUCCUAAAAUGCCAUCUUAAGUCAGCACAAAUUUCAGGCUUUUUUUUAUGUUAAGGGCAGGGGAAGAAGAGGGAGUUGGGAUCAAGAUGUGACUGAUGACUGCAGACCUCUGGGUGCCAGUGAGGGCCUGAGGAGUUUGGGAACUUCUUUGUCCUUGGUCAGGUCACAAUGCUCCUGUAAAUCUUUAACAAAACACAGUUGUUUACAUACUUUCCCUUUAACCCCAGAGUUAUUUUUUAAAACUACAUAAUUGCUGUUUUUGUGUAUUAUCUAUAUGGAUCUUUAACAAAACAUGAUUGUUUACAUACUUUCCCUAUAACCCCAGAGUUGGCUUUUAAAACUACAUGAUUGCUGUUUUUGUGUAUUAUCUCAGUGCUCUAAAAUUAUCCUAGCCUACACGCGGGCAUGGGUUAAAGCCCCUUACACAAAUACGGUGAGUGUUACAUUCUUUUGCUGUUUCGCUGUUGCUGAAUGAAUGACUGAAUGAAAGCAUCUCCCAAGGCUGCCUGCUUGCUUACCUUCUCACAUGAUGCUUCUUUGCCUCUCUGUUCCUUAAGGAGCUUUCCCUCCCUUCUUUCUUGCCCCACAGUCCCCAAACUCACCAGUGUGGGCAGAAGGAGAAAAGGAAUGUUCUAUCCAGCCCCAUACCCCAGCACCUGCUGGGCAACUUUGUCUUCCCUUCUGCAAAAGAAAAGAAGUCCCCUCAAACACAGGAGAGGAUGGGAAAAGGCAUCUCUCUAAGCAGUAACCCUGGCAGGGCCCUUCAGGAUUCCCAAAUUCCCAAUUUAUAGACAGGGAAACUGAUCCCUAGAGAAGGGAAGGGACUUGCCCAUGUCCACACAGCAUGUUAGUGGGACACAUCAUGAAACAUAAAAGCAGGAAGAGGGUCUAGAAACCAUCUAGCCCUACCCCCUCAUUUAGAGAAAGGAAAACCGAGGCCCAGAGAGGGAGAGUUAGUGACAGAGCCACAACAAGAACUCAGAAGAGGGUCAGCUGGUGUGCAACCAGCUCAGUGACACAAAAGCCUGUGCUAGGGAUUUAAUGUUCUACUGUCGUGUCUUGAAAUUCUUCAUAUCUUAUCUGUAAAUGUGUAGUUUGUAAAUGAAGUCUGUGAGAUAACACAGCAGGCACCCAGGCCAACAGCCUCAGUUCAAGUGCAGUCCGGCCCCUCCCUCACCAGGUGGGUUCUCAGUGCCAGCUUCCCCAACCCCCUGCUAUCUCCUCCUCACAUCCCUUCUUCUCUCUCUUCCCCCCAACAGCUGCCAGUCUGCUAUCUGCAGGGCACUGGCACGGGAGGCUGAGCAUGCACAUCCCACAGCAUUUGGGUAGGACACGACUGCAGCCAUGCCUGCCCUAGAGGUUGAUGACAUCGUGGUGCCUUCAAGGGGGGAAACUGGCAGGGCAAGCCUUUCCCCUAUGCUAGAGCCUCUGACAUGGAGGUUGCAAGAUGUGGGGGUACCUGUCCACCAUGGAUUGGGGUGAAGGGCCUGUGGGAAAGGAGGAUGCCUGGCUUCCCUUCUCCGGGUCCUCUUGCCUCAGUGUAGGGGACCUGGCAGCAGAUGGGCACUGGUGGGCCACACUGCAGGGGAAGGCUCCUGGGUGCCUUGAGGGCCUCCGUGCUCCUCUCCAGUAGCUCCAUGCCCAAGGUAGCAUAGCAUUAAAUAGCAAAUACACAGCACAAGAGGGGCCACAGAAGUGGGGUGGGGCUUUAUGUUUGGGUACCUCUCUCCUGCCUGUGGAACAAAAGGCUUGUGUUUGCAAUGUGCCCUGGGCUGUCACAUUAGGUAGCUGUCCUGACUCAGGACUUCUGUUGCUCUGGCCACCAGCCCCCAGCACUCAGCACCGCUGGACAACACCGGUGUAUUCACGUUCAGUCUAGUGCGUUCCCGGCCCUGUGCUGGGCCUCUUUUCCCUGUUUUCUUGUUUGCAGCCUUGUCGUAACUGAGUGAGGUGUGCACUAUUAUUAGACUCAUUUUACAGGUGAGGAAAGACAGCUGCCCAUAGGCUGAGUUAACUUGUCCACGUCCUCCACCAGGGAAGCAAGAGAGCCAAGCUCCCCACCCAGGUGGCCUGGUGCUCCUGUCCUGGCCCGACAUGCGGGCAGUCGGGCCGUCGGGAAAGGAAAGCGCAGUGUAGAGGAGCUGCUUCUCACCGCCUCUCCUCCCCUCCCCACCUUCCCCGGGAACUCAUGCCCCUCCCCUGCACUCCUGCUCCUUGCCGGCUCGCCCUGGGCCGCUCCGAAGGGAGGAGACCACGUGACCCAGGUCACCGGUAACCAGGCAACCGUUCCAAGACACUGCUUUUCAUCCACUCUGGCUUCUACCUUAUUCAAUAUCUGCCAGGCGGGCAAGGCUCCUGGGAGCAUCCCUGAAGCCAUUUCUCUGGGCCAGGAGCCAGCUGUUCCCAAAAUGGCCACGAUGCCUCAGGAGGGAGGUUGACACCCUGUGCUCUCAGAAGCAGCUCAGAGCUCAGAGGCAGACCUCUACUCAUGCAAUUCUGCCUUCUGUGCAUGCAAUGGAUUGCUGCCAUCUCCAAUCAGCCACAAUGGGAGGCCACCUGCUAGACAUGGAAGAGCCACCGGAUGGAAGAAGCCUGGGUCUCUGAAAUACUGCUUGGAGUAGACUACUCUGCCUGCAAACUAGGAGCACUGAUUUUGGACUUUUUGGGAGAUCUGCUGUGAUUAUUCCUUUUCACAAACCACAAUGACUCUGGAAAACCUGGCUGUAAACACCAGCACUGCCACCAGCUAAGGAUCUGUGAUCAGGAGUGCCAUCUCACGGUAACAGGAAUAUGAAGUCUGAGGUUUCUGCUCUGACAAGAGGAAAUGUCUAACAGCAGAAGACAAAAGUGAAACCGGGCUGAUGCGAAUCACUGGGAAACUGGCUUUGGCACCUCCAGAGAAUGAACUGUUUCAUAGCCUAGCUGACCAUCCAUGAAAAUGGCUGCCUGGAGAGGCAGUGAUCAGCCCAUCCCUGCAGGGUGAAGAUAAGCUUGUGCAGGCCACUGGCUAACACAGUUCAUCCCAUGCCUCCUACAUACCAAGCACUGUGCCAGGCACUUUUCACGUCUGGCAUCCUCAGAAUCCUCCAAAAGGAGAGGUUCGUGGAGGAUAAUGCUGUCAGGCUUGGAAGCAGCAGUAGAGAUCACGUUGCCCAGCUCUUGGCAUCAUUGGUUCCCAAAGCUCUGAAUCCCCUGGAGAGCUUUUGUAAAAGGUCGGAUUCAGACAAUCCGGUGGAGCACUCUGAAAUUUAGAGGAAGUGGUCAAAUAGAAUUUUCUGGAAUUAUGGAAAUCUUCUAUUCUGUGCAUCUAGUAUAGUAGAAUCUAGUCACAUGUGGCUUUUGAGAACUGGAAAUAUGGCUAAUGCAACAGAGAAAGUGAAUUUUUACUUUUGAUUCAUUUAAAUAUAAAUGGUCACAUAUGACAUCACUGCCAUAUUGGACAUUGCAGUUCUGGAAGAUGGCAGAUGCAGCCCUCAGAAGAAUUAUCAGCCUGAAUGUCUGGGCGGAGCAGAGCACUACCUUCCCACUCACUCUUCCCCUCCUCUCGCCCCCUCCCCUGCCUCACUUGCAUCAGAUUAUGAUGUGAGCAAAAGCAGGAAACAGCUCUUUUGAUAGGCCUGUGAGACUUGCUGUUCGUUGGAGUAGCUAGGCUGCUCUGACUCAUACAGACCCAAAUCCUGGCAACCACUUUUAUGAAGAAAUGACAAUUCAGUCUACUACUUGUCCAUUUUACAUGCCCAAGGAAUGUGAGGGGCCUCUGCUUGGAUCUAGUUUUCAACCUAGUCUAUGGCAUUGAUUAUCCUUUUAAAAGACAAAAGAGGUGACUUCACGGGCACUUAACAUCUUGGCCAUACUGACCCCAGUUGCACGCUACGUAGGAAGUUUUAGUCCAUUUAAACUGAAGUUCCAAUUUUUUUUUUAACAACUAUUUAAAAAUUGUACAUGUCCCAUACAUGACAGAGAAAGGGUUGUCUGGUUGGAUGAUUUUUGGCUUGCAAAAAGAGAACACAAAAGAAAAGCAUACGUUUUAAUACUCAAGAGACCAAAUUUUCUGCUGAAGAGGAAAUGAACUACAUAUCCAGAAGGGUCCUACCAAGAGGCCAAACAGACUGUGUUCUCUUGGGGGAGUUCUCAGUGGUGAUGAGAACACCACUUUUUUUUUUUUUUUAGUCAUUUUCAAGGUGAGAUAUUGACUUGCUGCUGGAGCAGGACAACUGGUCUCUCUUUCAUUGCUAGCAGCAGAGUAAGGGUCUUGCAAGUUUCAGGCAGCAGCAGAGAAAGGGUCUUGCAAGUUUCAGUCCAAAGCAAGAAGAGCUAGGAUUGCACCAGCUGUCUCACCUACUCUGUGCUCACCUGUUUCUGGAUGAAGCACGGUGACAUCUGUUUUAUUGUAAAGAGAACCAACUUUGGAAUCAAAUGGAACCUGUAUUAAAAUCCUGAAUCCGUCACUAGCUUGGACAAGUCA
rnacentral:lncRNA from 1 species